CCCAAUCCCAGACCGCAGGCGUCGUUUCCCUUCGCGAUCCAGCGCUCUCCCCUCCACCGCUGAUCUCCCCCGGGGUCCCCCCCGGGGCUCCCCCACGCCCGCAGGCCGCGGCGGGGAGACGGUGCGGGGCAUCUGCCGGAGCUCCGGGGCUCGCGUGGACUGCGGCCACGAGCCCGACGCCGGGCUGGCCCCGGUGCGAGUCAUCCGCCUGCUGGGGACGCGCAGGGAGGUGGAGGCGGCCAAGGUGAGCGCGGCCGGGCUGGGGGCGACCCCGGCACCCUCCUCAUCAUCCUCAUCAUCAUCAUCGUCAUCCUCAGAAGCUGAUCAUGGAGAAGCUGGCGGAGGACAAGGCGCUCCGCCGGGAGCUGGCGCAGGCGGCGGCCGCGCGGUGCCCGCGGAAGCAGCCGCUGGGCAGCCGCCGGGAGCCGCCGCCGGAGCCUCCCCCCGGUGCUCCCGGGAGCGCCGGCGGCUGGCGGGAGUGCUGGGAUAAUGACUGGGCACCGGAGGCAGCGGCGGGGAGCAGCGCCGGGAUGGAGACGGGGCAGACGGAGGCGGCGGAUGAGGGAGAGGAGCGGCGGGAUGGGAGCGAGGAGCACCGGGAUGGGAGAGAGGAGCACCGGGAUGCGGGAGAGGAGCACCGGGAUGGGAGCGAGCAGCACCGGGAUGGGAGCGAGGAGCACCGGGAUGGGAGUGACGAGCACCGGGAUGGGAGAGAGGAGCACCGGGAUGGGAGCGAGGAGCACCAGGAUGGGAGCGAGGAGCACCGGGAUGGGAGCGAGGAGCCGCCUGUGGCCAAGUUCGAGGUGCCCAGCCCGGAUUUCGGCUGCCCAGUGGACGAGCUGCUGGACGUGUACGUGUCGGCGGCCGAGAGCCC
rnacentral:lncRNA from 1 species